UACAGAGGGUGCAAACGUUAUCCGGAGUUACUGGGCGUAAAGGGCGUGUAGGUGGUUUUGUAAGUCUGGCGUGAAAUUUUUCGGCUUAACCGGGAAAGGUCGUCGGAUACUGCAGGACUAGAGGACGGUAGAGGCGUGUGGAAUUCCGGGUGUAGUGGUGAAAUGCGUAGAGAUCCGGAGGAACACCAGUGGCGAAGGCGACACGCUGGGCCGUACCUGACACUGAUGCGCGACAGCAUGGGGAGCAAACAGG
rnacentral:rRNA from 1 species